AAAGCCACCUCUGUCUGGACGGUUCUCACAGGGAGGGAGCUGGUCCUACCACAGCAGCUCCCGAGCACAGAAUAGCAGCUGAAGGCCUCUCCGCUGAAUGCUGAAACCUCACCUUCACUGGCUGCUUUAUAAUCAGCAUUUAUAGGUCACCAUGGCAAUGAUGGCUUCUGUAAUUUUUCAGGAACUUGGGCCAGCUCCUGUCCAGUUCAAACUGGUUGGUACCACUGAUCCUUCAACUGAGCCUGCAUACAUGCCCAGUAGGUGCCUUUUGACAUCAGAGGGCCCAAAACGCCACCCUCGGAUGAUGCAAAUGCCACCAUUUUCUGUACACAUGUCCUAUGAAAUGCCAUGAAUUCCUGCUAUGCUUGUGCAGAACGAACCUGUUACUUGGUUGUUCCCCACUGCCAAUCACCUUCCCCACACCUUAGACCAUCUACUUCCCUAAUCUAUAAAUAUUCCUAAGCCUUAUCUUCAGGGAGGCAGAUUUGGGAGCUGUCCUUCCUCCUCACUCUGUGCCCUGGCAAAUAAAUAUUUUCUGUUUUGCAAAA
rnacentral:lncRNA from 1 species